GUUGAUAGGCCGGAUCUGGAAGCACGGUAACGUGUGGAGGUGACCGGUACUAAUAGGCCGAGGGCUUGUCCUC
rnacentral:rRNA from 4 species